rnacentral:rRNA from 1 species
GGGACACGUGGUAUCCUGUCUGAAUAUGGGGGGACCAUCCUCCAAGGCUAAAUACUCCUGACUGACCGAUAGUGAACCAGUACCGUGAGGGAAAGGCGAAAAGAACCCCGGCGAGGGGAGUGAAAAAGAACCUGAAACCGUGUACGUACAAGCAGUGGGAGCACGCUUAGGCGUGUGACUGCGUACCUUUUGUAUAAUGGGUCAGCGACUUAUAUUCUGUAGCAAGGUUAACCGAAUAGGGGAGCCGAAGGGAAACCGAGUCUUAACUGGGCGUUAAGUUGCAGGGUAUAGACCCGAAACCCGGUGAUCUAGCCAUGGGCAGGUUGAAGGUUGGGUAACACUAACUGGAGGACCGAACCGACUAAUGUUGAAAAAUUAGCGGAUGACUUGUGGCUGGGGGUGAAAGGCCAAUCAAACCGGGAGAUAGCUGGUUCUCCCCGAAAGCUAUUUAGGUAGCGCCUCGUGAAUUCAUCUCCGGGGGUAGAGCACUGUUUCGGCAAGGGGGUCAUCCCGACUUACCAACCCGAUGCAAACUGCGAAUACCGGAGAAUGUUAUCACGGGAGACACACGGCGGGUGCUAACGUCCGUCGUGAAGAGGGAAACAACCCAGACCGCCAGCUAAGGUCCCAAAGUCAUGGUUAAGUGGGAAACGAUGUGGGAAGGCCCAGACAGCCAGGAUGUUGGCUUAGAAGCAGCCAUCAUUUAAAGAAAGCGUAAUAGCUCACUGGUCGAGUCGGCCUGCGCGGAAGAUGUAACGGGGCUAAACCAUGCACCGAAGCUGCGGCAGCGACGCUUAUGCGUUGUUGGGUAGGGGAGCGUUCUGUAAGCCUGCGAAGGUGUGCUGUGAGGCAUGCUGGAGGUAUCAGAAGUGCGAAUGCUGACAUAAGUAACGAUAAAGCGGGUGAAAAGCCCGCUCGCCGGAAGACCAAGGGUUCCUGUCCAACGUUAAUCGGGGCAGGGUGAGUCGACCCCUAAGGCGAGGCCGAAAGGCGUAGUCGAUGGGAAACAGGUUAAUAUUCCUGUACUUGGUGUUACUGCGAAGGGGGGACGGAGAAGGCUAUGUUGGCCGGGCGACGGUUGUCCCGGUUUAAGCGUGUAGGCUGGUUUUCCAGGCAAAUCCGGAAAAUCAAGGCUGAGGCGUGAUGACGAGGCACUACGGUGCUGAAGCAACAAAUGCCCUGCUUCCAGGAAAAGCCUCUAAGCAUCAGGUAACAUCAAAUCGUACCCCAAACCGACACAGGUGGUCAGGUAGAGAAUACCAAGGCGCUUGAGAGAACUCGGGUGAAGGAACUAGGCAAAAUGGUGCCGUAACUUCGGGAGAAGGCACGCUGAUAUGUAGGUGAAGUCCCUUGCGGAUGGAGCUGAAAUCAGUCGAAGAUACCAGCUGGCUGCAACUGUUUAUUAAAAACACAGCACUGUGCAAACACGAAAGUGGACGUAUACGGUGUGACGCCUGCCCGGUGCCGGAAGGUUAAUUGAUGGGGUCAGCGCAAGCGAAGCUCUUGAUCGAAGCCCCGGUAAACGGCGGCCGUAACUAUAACGGUCCUAAGGUAGCGAAAUUCCUUGUCGGGUAAGUUCCGACCUGCACGAAUGGCGUAAUGAUGGCCAGGCUGUCUCCACCCGAGACUCAGUGAAAUUGAACUCGCUGUGAAGAUGCAGUGUACCCGCGGCAAGACGGAAAGACCCCGUGAACCUUUACUAUAGCUUGACACUGAACAUUGAGCCUUGAUGUGUAGGAUAGGUGGGAGGCUUUGAAGUGUGGACGCCAGUCUGCAUGGAGCCGACCUUGAAAUACCACCCUUUAAUGUUUGAUGUUCUAACGUGGACCCGUAAUCCGGGUUGCGGACAGUGUCUGGUGGGUAGUUUGACUGGGGCGGUCUCCUCCUAAAGAGUAACGGAGGAGCACGAAGGUUGGCUAAUCCUGGUCGGACAUCAGGAGGUUAGUGCAAUGGCAUAAGCCAGCUUGACUGCGAGCGUGACGGCGCGAGCAGGUGCGAAAGCAGGUCAUAGUGAUCCGGUGGUUCUGAAUGGAAGGGCCAUCGCUCAACGGAUAAAAGGUACUCCGGGGAUAACAGGCUGAUACCGCCCAAGAGUUCAUAUCGACGGCGGUGUUUGGCACCUCGAUGUCGGCUCAUCACAUCCUGGGGCUGAAGUAGGUCCCAAGGGUAUGGCUGUUCGCCAUUUAAAGUGGUACGCGAGCUGGGUUUAGAACGUCGUGAGACAGUUCGGUCCCUA